GAUUAACGCUGGCGGCGUGCAUAACACAUGCAAGUCGAACGAUGAAACUUAAAUGAUUUCUUCGGAAUGAACUUAAGUGGAUUAGUGGCGGACGGGUGAGUAACGCGUGAGUAACCUGCCUUACACAAGGGGAUAGCCGUUGGAAACGACGAAUAAUACCCUAUGAAACUAUCACUUCGCAUGAAGCGAUAGUCAAAGUGUUAGCGGUGUAAGAUGGACUUGCGUCUGAUUAGCUAGUUGGUGAGAAAAAAGCCCACCAAGGCAACGAUCAGUAGCCGGAUUGAGAGAGUGUACGGCCACAUUGGGACUGGCGCAAGGCCCAGACUCCUACGGGAGGCAGCAGUGGGGAAUUUUGCACAAUGGGGGAAACCCUGAUGCAGCGACGCCGCGUGAUUUAGAAGGCCUUCGGGUUGUAAAAAUCUUUUGUAUAGGAAGAACAUGACAGUACUAUACGAAUAAGGUCCGGCUAAUUACGUG
rnacentral:rRNA from 1 species